ensembl:snoRNA SNORA62 Small nucleolar RNA SNORA62/SNORA6 family
UCUGGACAUUGUAAGAGCUUGGAGUUGAGGCCACUGGCUGGCUGUAGGACUCACAAGAGUCGGAAGUAUGCUACAUGAGGGGCAAGUCUUUUCUAACACGACAAGGCUCUCUGGCUCAAUUAGUGGAGUUUGAUAGUAAUUCAAGUUAAAAAA